UACGUAGGGUGCAAGCGUUACUCGGAAUUACGGGGCGUAAAGCGUGCGCAGGCGGCUUUGCAAGCCAGAUGUGAAAUCCCCGGGCUUAACCUGGGAACUGCAUUUGUGACUGCAUGGCUGGAGUGCGGCAGAGGGGGAUGGAAUUCCGCGUGUAGCAGUGAAAUGCGUAGAUAUGCGGAGGAACACCGAUGGCGAAGGCAAUCCCCUGGGCCUGCACUGACGCUCAUGCACGAAAGCGUGGGGAGCAAACAGG
rnacentral:rRNA from 1 species